rnacentral:rRNA from 1 species
GGGAUCAUUACCGAGUGUUUCUACUCUAAACCCACUGUGAACCUUACCACUGUCGUUGCUUCGGCGGGCGUCCGCGCCCGCCGGCAGCACCCAAACUCUUGAUUUUUGCAUGCCUCUCUGAGUACUAAAGACAAAACAAUCAAAACUUUCAACAACGGAUCUCUUGGCUGUGGCAUCGAUGAAGAACGCAACGAAAUGCGAUAACUAAUGUGAAUUGCAGAAUUCAGUGAAUCAUCGAGUCUUUGAACGCACAUUGCGCCCGCUGGUAUUCCGGCGGGCAUGCCUGUCCGAGCGUCAUUUCGUCCCUCAAGCCCCCGCGCUUGGUGUUGGGCGUCCCCGCGGGCCUUCACGGCCGGCGGGCGCCCCAAAUGCAUCGGCGGUCCCGCCUGGCGGCUCCCUGCGUAGUAAAACCUCUUCUCGCAUCGAGUCCCGGGCGCGCGGCCAGCCGCUAAACCCCCCAAUCGUACCAACGGUUGACCUCGGAUCAGGUAGGACUACCCGCUGAACUUAAGUAUAUCAAUAAGCGGAGGAAAAGAAACCAACAGGGAUUGCCCCAGUAACGGCGAAC